rnacentral:rRNA from 1 species
AUUGAACGCUGGCGGCAGGCCUAACACAUGCAAGUCGAGCGAGCGGCGGACGGGUGCGUAAUGUAUGGGGACUGCCCGAUAGAGGGGGAUAACUACUGGAAACGGUAGCUAAUACCGCAUACUAUCGGAUAACCCAUAUGGGAUUAGCUAGUGGGUUAGGUAAUGGCUCACUUAGGCGACGAUCCCUAGCUGGUCCGCGAGGGUGAUCCGCCGCACUGGGACUGAGACGCGGCCCAGACGCCUACGGGGGCAGCAGUGGGGAAUAUUGCACAAUGGGCGCAAGCCUGAUGCGGCCAUGCCGCGGGUAUGAAGAAGGCCUUAGGGUUGUAAAGUACUUUCAGUCGGGAGGCGUUACCGACAGAAGAAGCACCGGCUAACUCCGUGCCAGCAGCCGCGGUAAUAC